AUGGCAUCGGUGAAGAGAGGCGACAGCGAGAUUUGGGAUUUAGGUUUUUGUUUUCAUCUCUUUCCCUCUAUUAGGGGUGUUCGUGGUUUGGUUUGGAUUGAUUUUAAGACAAAAAAUCAUCCGAUCCACCGAUAUAUUUACGUGCGGUUUGGUUCGAUUUUGGAUGAUAUAUUAAAAAAAUCAAUCCAAUUCGAUCCAAUUUUAUGCUGUCUAAUUUGGAUCGGUUUUUGGAUAUCCAAAUUGCACAAUAUAUUUUUAUUAAUAUUAUAA